CUUGUGUUUCCUGGUCUGCAUUUCCUUCAACUAUUCGGACAAUUCCUGAAUAAACUCAUUUAGCUAGUGAGAUAGUCAGGUAAUAACAAGUUGACACACACUUGUCUACUCCAAGCUCCAAGGAUUACUCAAUUAGUUUAGGCUUUGCUACCAUGGUACUUGUUCCUGUGGAGGUUUCUGCUUAGGUUUUCCAAAUGAGCCUGCUGCCAUCAUUGCCCUCAACACCAUUAAGGAAUGGCUGGUCAAGAAUCAGCAGGAGGUGGAUCGGAUCAUCUUCUGUGUCUUCCUAGAAGUCGACUUCAAAAUCUACAAAAAGAAAAUGUGCGAGUUUUUCCCUGCUGGU